UGGGGAAUAUUGGAUAAUGGGCGAAAGUCUGAUCCAGCCAUGCCGCGUGUGUGAAGAAGGUCUUCGGAUUGUAAAGCACUUUAAGUUGGGAGGAAGGGCAGUAAGUUAAUACCUUGCUGUUUUGACGUUACCAACAGAAUAAGCACCGGCUAACUUCGUGCCAGCAGCCGCGGUAAUACGAAGGGUGCAAGCGUUAAUCGGAAUUACUGGGCGUAAAGCGCGCGUAGGUGGUUCAGCAAGUUGGAUGUGAAAUCCCCGGGCUCAACCUGGGAACUGCAUCCAAAACUACUGAGCUAGAGUACGGUAGAGGGUGGUGGAAUUUCCUGUGUAGCGGUGAAAUGCGUAGAUAUAGGAAGGAACACCAGUGGCGAAGGCGACCACCUGGACUGAUACUGACACUGAGGUGCGAAAGCGUGGGGAGCAAACAGGAUUAGAUACUCCUGGUAGUCCACGCCGUAAACGAUGUCGACUAGCCCGUUGGGAUCCAUGAGAUCUUAGUGGCGCAGCUAACGCGAUAAGUCGACCCCCUGGGGAGUACGGCCGCAUGGUUA
rnacentral:rRNA from 1 species